UACAGAGGUCUCAAGCGUUGUUCGGAAUCACUGGGCGUAAAGCGCACGUAGGCGGAUGUGUCAGUCAGGGGUGAAAUCCCGGGGGCUCAACCUCGGAACUGCCUUUGAUACAGCACGUCUCGAGUCCGGAAGAGGUGGGUGGAAUUCCUAGUGUAGAGGUGAAAUUCGUAGAUAUUAGGAAGAACACGGUGGCGAAGGCGGCCCACUGGUCCGGUACUGACGCUGAGGUGCGAAAGCGUGGGGAGCAAACAGG
rnacentral:rRNA from 1 species